rnacentral:lncRNA from 1 species
CCUUCGUAAAAGAAGUACAUUAAAUUACCAUUAAUAUAAAGAAGCCUUAAUGAUAUUUUAUCAAUAUUGCUCUAAAUAUCAAAUAACAAUCAAGCUCGAACUGUUUCCUUCAUUCAUGAAUGUAAAAAACAGUGGUAUUCUCCCAAGCUCUCGAAAGGAAUGAGAUAAUCGAGCCUUUUUCCUCCUCUCGGUUUCCUCAUUAACCAAAUGUCGAAGAAGCAAAACAAAAAUCUAACCUCUCUGCAUUAAAGAAAACAAAAGCCAGAAAUCAAAAGUAAUAAAUCUUAAAUCUUUAGGUUUUUAAGCAAAAACCUUGAAAGAGGAGUCGAUUAACGGCCUUGUUAGGGUCCAUAUUGUUAAGAGAAGCACUGAUAAGGAAAGAUUAGGAGAUGGCUAAAAGGAUGGCAACACAAUAGCAACGCAAUCUGCUGAGGAAAGAAAUACAGAAUGACGAACACAUUCUGUUAAGGAAGGGAAUAAAUAAUGGCAACACAAUUACAUAACUCUUGGCAUUGACAAUGUUGGUCAAUGGCACAAUUUUAGAAAUCAUUCCCAGCUAGGAUCAUUGGAACAAUUUUAGAAAUCAUUCCCAGCUAGGAUCAUUGCAAUUAAAAGCUGAAAUAAUUUCGUUUUAUUGCUAUGUAAUUAACUGCAUAUGAUUUGGAACUCUUGCUGUAUAUAUUAUGUAAGAAAACUCAAUUGAAAUAACACUUCCCUUUACAAAUAAUUCUGGAAAAUUUCUCAUGGUAUCAGAGCCACAAACUCACAAGCCUGAAACCACGUCUUCUUCAUCUUAUGUUUUGAAAAAAGAACCACAGUUGAACAUCUAGCAAUUCCACCAGUGUUCUAGCUUAAUUUCGAUUAAGCUAAACACAUCAAAUUUUCUAUUAUGGCGUUCACAAAUUCUUCCAUUGGUUCGAAGCUUGGGUAUUCUUCAUCAUCUCACCAAUGAAGGAAAACCUGAUGAAGAAAUCGACGAUGAAUCGGGAAAGAAAAGUCCAAACCCACAAUACCACCUGUGGCUCAAUAAUGACGGCAGCUUUACCUCUUGGCUUCUAGGCACUAUGAAGUAGGAUGUAUUAAGUCUUAUUUUUGAGGCUGAAAUAGCAUCUGCUUAUGAGAUUUGGAAAUCUCUUCAAACCCAACUACUUCUC